rnacentral:rRNA from 1 species
CAGUAGCCGCGGUAAUGCGUAGGUGGCAAGCGUUGUCCGGAAUUAUUGGGCGUAAAGGGCUCGCAGGCGGUCUCUUAAGUCUGAUGUGAAAGCCCCCGGCUCAACGGGGGAGGGUCAUUGGAAACUGGGAAACUUGAGUGCAGAAGAGGAGAGUGGAAUUCCACGUGUAGCGGUGAAAUGCGUAGAGAUGUGGAGGAACACCAGUGGCGAAGGCGACUCUCUGGUCUGUAACUGACGCUGAGGAGCGAAAGCGUGGGGAGCGAACGGGAUUAGAUACCCCCGUAGUCCCUGUCUCUUAUAC